rnacentral:lncRNA from 1 species
GUGGUGCCACAGAUGGUGCGGAAGCUGCUGCAGCUGCUGGAGAUGGAGCAGGAGACUGAGAGCGAGAGCGGCGGGUUUCCCCUGGCCGCGGCCACGGUGCUGCACAAGAUGCUGGAUUGCCGCAGGUACAGCACGCAGGUGUGCCUGCUCUUCCCAGAGUUCUUCGUGGCGCUCAUCUUCCAGCUCAAGCGGUCCGGGGAGCUCGCUUCCGAGGAGGACAGGGCUAUGUAUGUGAACGAGUGGGCCCCGUUCGAGCCUCCCCCCGCCACCAGGACGUUGGUGGAGGCGGCGCUCCGUUUGCUCUGGUGGAUGGAGCUGGAAGACCUGAAGAGCACCAUGACCAGACUGGAGAUGUGGAGGUGGCUGUUGUGCGGUGAUGAGUGGCAGAGCGCCGUGCCGGACAUCAGCGAGAUGAUGCUGAGUUCCUGCCGGGAUCAGUGCGCCCGCAUAUUCAGCCACCUGCAGAAGCUGCUGCUGCACCCUGAGCUGCGGUGGAGGGAGGUCCCCGCCUUAACAUUCUACACAGAGCUGUGGAGCUGCGAGGAGCUGCGGGACGAGGACACCUGCGCGGAGGAGAUCUUUAGGAAAUACAUCUGCAGCGAGAAGCCCAGGAGCAGGGAGCUGGCGCUGCGCGGGCUGCGGGGCCUGUAUGC